rnacentral:lncRNA from 1 species
CCUGUGAAGAAGGACGUGUUUGCUUCCCCCUCCACAAUGAUUGUGGCUUGAAAUUUGAAACACCAUAUGAAGGUUGGGGAGUCUCAGGGACAGCCCAGCUGGGGAUCUGAAGUUGCUGGAGAAGAUUUUGCCUAGGCUGGCCAGCAACUGGCAGACAAGAGUCAUCCUUUCACAAUGCUGGAGACAGUAGACCUUCUUCAGGACCACAAGCAAGUCACCAUCUCUGGGUCACAGCUUCCUCAAUUAAAAAGUUAGAAGAUAGAAUCACAUUGCCUUUGAAGUUCCCUUUACCUCUAAUAAAACUUUACCAAUAGCCACUCCUAGGUUUUACCCUAUUUCCAUUUUAAGAAGUUUUCUUUUCCACACAAAGUAAAUCUCCUUUCCAGAUGUGCUUUACAUUGGAAAGAACAGAAGAGCUGAGAACAGAAAGAUCUAAGUUUAACUCCUGCUCUCUACUUCUUAGCGUUAUGAUAUCUGUUAGGUUUCUAGCUCCAUUUGAUUUGUCUGGAAAAUAGGAUGAUAAUGUUGUAGGAAACAAUGGCACUUAAUGUCCUUAGUAUGAGACACAUAGUAAGUACUAAAUAAAUAUAGUUUAUUAUCAUUUGUGUUAUGGGAAAACCACUCAAGUUUACAGGCUUUCCCCUAAUGCACAAACUCCUAUUUUUUCUGGUUAUCUUUAAUAUCUAAGAAAUCUGAGAUAACCAGUUUGGGGCCAUCAUUUUAUUUCCACAUUUGAAAGAUUCUUC